UGGGGAAUAUUGGACAAUGGGCGGAAGCCUGAUCCAGCAAUUCCGCGUGGGUGAAGAAGGUCUUCGGAUUGUAAAGCCCUUUCGGCGGGGACGAUGAUGACGGUACCCGCAGAAGAAGCCCCGGCUAACUUCGUGCCAGCAGCCGCGGUAAUACGAAGGGGGCUAGCGUUGCUCGGAAUUACUGGGCGUAAAGGGCGCGUAGGCGGCGGUGUUAGUCAGGCGUGAAAUUCCUGGGCUUAACCUGGGGACUGCGCUUGAUGCGGCAUUGCUUGAGGGUGGAAGAGGCUCGCGGAAUUCCCAGUGUAGAGGUGAAAUUCGUAGAUAUUGGGAAGAACACCGGUGGCGAAGGCGGCNAGCUGGUCCAUUACUGACGCUGAGGCGCGACAGCGUGGGGGAGCAAACAGGAUUAGAUACCCUGGUAGUCCACGCCGUAAACGAUGUGCGCUGGAUGUUGGGUGGCCUAGCCACUCAGUGUCGUAGCCAACGCGGCAAGCGCACCGCCUGGGGAGUACGGCCGCAAGGUUGAAACUU
rnacentral:rRNA from 1 species